rnacentral:rRNA from 1 species
UACGUAGGGACCGAGCGUUGUCCGGAAUCAUUGGGCGUAAAGAGCUCGUAGGCGGCUUGUCGCGUCGAAUGUGAAAACCCACGGCUCAACUGUGGGCUUGCAUUCGAUACGGGCAGGCUCGAGUUCGGUAGGGGAGACUGGAAUUCCUGGUGUAGCGGUGAAAUGCGCAGAUAUCAGGAGGAACACCGGUGGCGAAGGCGGGUCUCUGGGCCGAUACUGACGCUGAGGAGCGAAAGCGUGGGGAGCGAACAGG